CAGAGAGAAUAGUUUACCUUUGAGAGCUAUCCGAAGUAGCGGGCUAGCUGCUAGCAAUAGCGCCCAGCUAGUCCAACAUGGAUCUGGUGACUGGGGCAGUUGGCAGCCUCGCCUCCAAGCUGCUCCAGCUACUCGUCGAGGAGUACAAGCUGCAGACGACAGGCCUGAAGAAGCAAGUCCAGUCUCUCUCGGCGGAGCUAGAGAGCAUCCACCCUUUCCUCAACAAGGUCGCCAACGUGCCGUGGUACCUGCUCGAUGAGCAGAUCAAAGUCUGGGCACGUGAGGUCAGGGACAAGUGCUACGACGUGGAGGAUGUCUUCGACACCUUACUCGUCCAAUUCGAGGGCCCUGAGACUGCCGAUCCGAGCAGACUCAAACGCGCCAUGCACAAGAUGGGUGACUUGUUCGCCAAGGUCAAGGCUCGCCAUGACAUUGCCAACGACAUAGAAGACAUCAUGAGGCAACUCGAAGAGGUUGCCGAGAGGCGUAACAGGUACAAAAUUGAUGAUUCCAUUGAGGUCAAGCCUGCAUCCAAAACAAUCGAUCCUCGCCUUUCGGCUCUCUACACAAAGCCUUCACAGCUCGUUGGCAUCAACGAGCCAAGGGAUGCCCUCAUUGAGAUGCUGUCCAUAGGUGGGCAGGAGAAGAAGAUAGUCUCCAUUGUCGGGUCUGGAGGAUUGGGCAAGACCACCCUUGCCAUGGCAGUGUACGACAAGCUUACAAAGAUUAAUGGACGAUUUGAUUGCGGUGCUUUUGUUCCAGUGGGACCAAAUCCAGACAUUAAGAAAACCUUGAGGGACAUUCUUAUUGAUCUCAUCAAGACGUCAAACAUGAUCAAUGCUUUUGAUAAUAGAAGGCUCAGCCUUCUUGGUGAUCUAAAGGAAUUGGAUGAAAAGCAGCUCAUCGAUUCACUCCGUGAGCACCUUGAAGGAAAAAGGUACUUCAUUGUUCUCGACGAUAUAUGGGAGAAAAAAACAUGGAGAUUUGUUGAACCUGCUUUUGUUGACGGUAAAUGUGGAAGUAGAAUACUCACAACUACGCGUAACUCUGAAGUUUCAAAGGAAAUUGGUGAAGUUUAUAAAUUAGAUGAACUUUCUGAUAAGAACUCCAAAAAACUAUUCUAUUCGUUAACAUUCGGCGGGGAAGAAAAACGUCCUUGUAGUGAUAAUUUGGAUAUGGUUUCUGAUACAAUUAUACAUAAAUGUCGUGGCCUACCAUUAGCCAUUAUUACAAUAGCUGGGGUGCUGGCUAGGAAACCAAUAGAGGAGUGGUCUGAUGUGUACAACUCGAUUGGUUUUGGUCCUGACGAGAACGAAGUUGAAGAUAUGAAAAAGAUAUUAUCGUUUAGCUACUACGACUUACCUUCUCAUCUAAGGACCUGCUUAUUGUAUCUAAGUAUAUUUCAAGAAGAAUAUUUUAUAGAUAAAAGGGAAUUGAUAUUGAGGUGGAUAGCUGAAGGUUUUAUCUACGAGGAAAGAGGGAAAGCGUUUUUUGAUGUCGGAGAUAGCUAUCUCCGUGAACUCAUGAAUAGGAACUUGGUCAUACCUACAGAGGAGAAAAGCUCAGGGCUUUUACGAGGUUGCCGUGUCCAUGACAAGCUACUUCGUCUCAUAAGACAAUUGUCAACUGAAGAGAACUUUGCUGUUGUACUGGAUAAAGACCAACGGUCAUCAGUUGCACAAGUCAAAGUUCGUCGCUUAGCCCUCCGAACGUUAACAGAAGAAACUAAUUAUAAUAAGGAUGAUUUGGCACGAGUGAGGUCCUUUAAUGCCAUAAUAUGUUUUACAAAACUGAUUCCCCCAGUGUGCAGCUUUAAAGUUUUGCGAGUCCUAGUUCUGGAGUAUUGUAUUGGUAUGGAAGGUUAUCCUAUCAAACAUAUUGCUAAGUUACUCCAUCUGAGGUACAUUGCGCUAUCGCAUACACCUGUUCGUAAGCUCCCCAAAGAAAUAGGGAAUCUUAAGUUUCUGCAAACACUGCUAUUGGAUGACACCGGGAUAAAAGAACUGCCAGCCAGUGUACGCUUGCUGAAACAAUUGAUGUGCCUGCGAGCUGAUGAGAAGACAAGAGUGCCGGAUUGGAUCGGGGAGAUGACGUCCCUAGUGGAGCUAGAGAUGUACCACGAAUUGCUGCCGAACUUUCUUCUUAGGGAGGCACCCCGCGUACAGGAGCAAGAGAUGCACAGUGGUGCCGACAACAAGUGCUCUACAAGAAAGUUUGUCAAGGAAUUGGGCAAGCUGAUAAAUCUCAGGGUACUUAAGUCUGGCAUUAAACUACAAGAUCAAGAGGAGGGGAGAGAUUUUCUGGCGUCUCUAAGCAAGCUCCACAAGAUCCAAGACAUAUCCAUGUUACUGACGGCAUACUUAGAGAUGGAUGUGGGUAGAGAACCUAGUUUUGCCCUCUCCUCAAGCCUCCGUACGCUUCAACUGUUGAAUGUGCAUUUCUCAAAGGUUCCGGCAUGGAUGAAUGGCCAACGUCUUCCCAACCUCUGCCAGUUGAAGGUGCUGGUGAGUAAUACGGACGAACAGGAUCUGAGAAUUCUUGGGACGUUACAAAAGCUCCGCCACCUCGUGCUAAUGGAUAUAAGAUACCACAAAUUAAAACUUACUAUUUGUGGGUGUGGAGGAUUCCAGAAUUUGAGAUUCUUACAUCUCGGUGGAUCACCGUUACAGUUUGUACCGGGAGCAAUGCCAAGGCUUGAAGACAUCACUUUUAGUGUCAAUGUGUUUGAGUUGGUAGAUGCCAACAUCAGUUUCGACUUCGGCUUGGAAAAUCUUUCAUCUCUUCAGUCUGUGACUGUCGGCGUGCACUGUGCGGAUGCAUGUCUUAGGGAAGUGGAGGAAGCAGAGGCUGCGAUCAGGCACGCUGUUGACAUCCACUCCAAACAUCCAUCACUUUUAGUGAAAAGGAUGGAUGAGGACAAAAUGGGGACCGUGGAUGCAGAUUCAAGGGAAGUUUCUCGGCUAAUGUACAAGAUGUUGCGGGAUUCCACGCUCAGUGAGCAAAUCAAGAAGCUCAAUGACCAAAUCGACGUUCAGAACAAUUGUAAUAGCACACUGUAUAGUCAGGCCCAAGAAAUGGCGCAUUCCAUACCGGAGGGGCAUCCCAGCAUUGCAAAGCAGAUCCAGUGGUCCUCGGUAACCCUGCUGGAGAUGGUGGCGCUCCGAAAGCAACUUGCCGACACAUUUCAAACGAUAAAUGAUACGUCAGACCCUGAUCAACUGAUGCAACAUAUUAAGCUUCAGGAACGAUUAUUCGAGCUGUACAAAGUUGAAAAUAAGCGAAUGGCCGCAAUCGUGGAGGAACUGAAAGCUGAGCUCAAGAUAUCUGAUAAUGUCGCCGAUGCUGAGGAGCAUGGAGAGUAGUAGUAAUACUGAGGCACGCAUCCUUGGAGGCCGCAGGUACCUGGUAUGUCGAUGGACGCAUACUCCACAGGGAGGCCCGCUGCUGGUUCUUCAAUGCUAUACCAAACUCAGGAGGCUUCAUUUGGACCAUGUUCAAAUAAUUGGAGAUCUUCCAGGGUUGCUAUUAAAUUGUUCUAUUCUUGAGGAUUUGGAGCUUAUCGCCUGCUCUGGUGUGGCUGAUCUGAAUAUACCACACCAACUAGCUAAACUUAGACAUUUGCUAAUUUCCAAUAUGUGUGUCCACAAGGUCGAUUUUCAUGUUACCGGCCUUACUCAUUUUGGAUACAAAGGAGAUGUGAUUCCUAUAGUGCUUCAUGGUUGCACAAAAUUAGAGAAGGUAACUCUCACAUUUCAGAUGCCGUUGCAUGAACAAGUCAGCAAUAAAGGUCUGGGCCAUGCCAUCACUGGAAUUCCCAGUAUUUCGGCAGUCAAAGAGCUAAACAUACGUGCUUAUAUGCAGGAAGACCAACCGAUCUGGUUCUCACAGGUGCAUAUAUAGGAUGACAAGACCGACAUUCAUGUUUGUGAAUUUGAGGCAUCUGACCUGUGAAAUAACUAUUUUCACCAAUAGCCCAAAUACGCACACUGGAAUUCUUCAGCUGGCUCACUGUUUGGAUUGUGCACCCCAACUGGAGACACUGAAACUGCAUAUGCAAUACCAUGUGAUGGGCAGCCACUGCUGGCCUGGUGAGGGAAUCCUCCCUAUGCGCCGCCUAGAUCACCUCAAGACAGUCUACACGAGCGGGUUCCGGUGCUACCGGCCUCAGGUCAAGCUGCUGCAUGGCAGUCUGGAAAAUAGUGCUGCGCUGGAGCAUGUAACCAUUGAACCAACGGUGACGCUGUAUGUUGAUAGCAUAGCGAACAUAGGUGUACCUGAGGACAAGAUUUGUGAAUGGGCGCACCGUGCCUCGGAACGCUUUGGUAAAGCCAUCACUGUCGUAAAAGCCCAUCGACGGCGGUGGUUGUAGUGCCGUGCAUACAACUUGUAUUUACUUAGGGUUGAGUGAGUGAGCAAAAGUGUGUUGUUUACUGUACGUGCUUUGUUUCCAUGAGAGUAAAUUUGUGUCCGUGUUAAGAUUAUGACAGUGAAAGUCUUGGAGCUGGUCCUUUUUGUUUUA